AUGCUCCUAUGUUGUGUUAAGUGUUGGCAGAUAUCUGGACCCCGCCCUAGCGGUCCGGACUUGGGACCCCGAACUUCCCCCUCCCCAUACGAAGUCCGGGGUUUUUUUUUGCCCGGAA
rnacentral:sRNA from 1 species